rnacentral:rRNA from 1 species
GACCUUCGGGAGCUUGUACAGGUGCUGCAUGGCUGUCGUCAGCUCGUGUCGUGAGAUGUUCGGUUAAGUCCGCUAACGAGCGCAACCCUCGCUGUGUGUUACAAGUGUCACACGGAACUGCCGGUCAUAAACCGGAGGAAGGUGGGGAUGACGUCAAGUCAGCAUGGCCUUUAUAUCCUGGGCUACACACACGCUACAAUGGGAAGGGACAAUAGGUUGCGAAGCCGCGAGGCGGAGCCAAUCCAGCAAAACUUCCCUCAGUUCAGAUUGCAGGCUGCAACCCGCCUGCAUGAAGUUGGAGUUGCUAGUAAACGCAGGUCAGCCAUACUGCGUUGAAUACGUUCCCGGGGCUU